GAGAAACUGAUGAUCUGGGCCACAGUCAGCUCCAGGUCUUGUUUUUGCUGACUGUAUACAGCUUCUCGAUCUUCGGCCACAAAGAAUGUAAUCAAUUUGAUUUCAGUAUUGGCCAUUUGGUGGUGUCCAUGUGUGGAGUCUUCUCCUGUGUU